UUUUCUGCCACCGAAUACAUUAGCAUGGGAUAAUGGAAUAGGACCCUGUCCUCCUAUUUUCAGUUGGUUUUGGCAGCGCGAGGACUAGGGUAAUGAUUAAUAGGGAUAGUUGGGGGCAUUAAUAUUUAAUUGUCAGAGGUGAAAUUCUUGGAUUUAUGAAAGAUUAACUUCUGCGAAAGCAUCUGCCAAGGAUGUUUUCAUUAAUCAAGAACGAAAGUUAGGGGAUCGAAGACGAUCAGAUACCGUCGUAGUCUUAACCAUAAACGAUGCCGACCAGCGAUUAGGAGACGUUGAAUACAAAACACCACCAUCGGCGCGGUCGUCCUUGGCGYCKGYSUGUUSRGGCMSGGGCGCGGGCGGCUUACUUAGGUGGGWGCCGUGAAUGACUGCC
rnacentral:rRNA from 1 species